ACUCUCACUUCAGCAACAUGUAUAAUAAGAUUGGAACAAUACAGAGAUUAGCACGGCCCCUCUGCAAGGAUGGCACACAAAUCUGUGAAGCAUUCCAUAUCAAA
rnacentral:snRNA from 1 species